rnacentral:rRNA from 1 species
GAUGAACGCUGACAGCAUGCUUAACACAUGCAAGUCAUUGGCGAAGCUGCGCUUGCGCUGUCUUGCUCAGGCGGACGGGUGGGUAACGCGUCAGGAACUUGCCCUCCAGACAGGGAUAACAGCCGGAAACGACUGAUAACACCUGGUAUUGUCAGGCUGUCGCAUGCCGGCGUGAUGAGAGGAGGCGCUGCGGGAGGGCCUUGCGGCCUAUUAGUUAGUUGGUGGGGUGGUGGCUGCCCAACGCGGUGAUGGGUAGCCGGCCUGAGAGGGUGAGCAGCCACCACGAGAGGAAUGAGAGACGGAGCCUACUCCUGGGGGCAGCAGCGGUGAGGAAUAUUGGACGGUGGGGACAACCCUGAAGCAGCAAUUCUGUGUGGACGAAGAAGGUUUUCGGAUUGUAAAGUGCUUUCAGCAGGGAAGAGGAAGGUAACGGUACCGGCAGAAGAAGCGAGGGCAAAUUACUU